rnacentral:rRNA from 1 species
GUAGUUAGCCGGGGCUUUCUAAUGGGGUACCGUCACUUCCUUCGUCCCCCACAACAGAGGUUUACAAUCCGAAAACCUUCUUCCCUCACGCGGCGUUGCUGGGUCAGGCUUUCGCCCAUUGCCCAAUAUUCCCCACUGCUGCCUCCCGUAGGAGUCUGGACCGUGUCUCAGUUCCAGUGUGGCCGUUCAGCCUCUCAGCUCGGCUACCCAUCGUCGGCUUGGUGGGCUGUUAUCUCACCAACUACCUAAUGGGACGCGAACCCCUCCUUUAGCGGAUUGCUCCUUUGACCCCUUCGCCAUGUGGCAUUGUGGUCUUAUGCGGUAUUAGCACUUGUUUCCAGGUGUUAUCCCCCUCUAAAGGUCAGGUUGUUCACGCGUUACUCACCCGUCCGCCACUAAACUUACAUCCGAAAACAUAAGUUCCGUUCGACUUGCAUGUGUUAGGCACGCCGCCAGCGUUCGUCCUGAGCCAUAAUCAAACUCUGA